AUUGAACGCUGGCGGAAUGCUUUACACAUGCAAGUCGAACGGUAGAGGGGGCAACCCCUUGAGAGUGGCGAACGGGUGAGUAAUAUAUCGGAACGUGCCCAGUCGUGGGGGAUAACGUAGCGAAAGUUACGCUAAUACCGCAUACGAUCUACGGAUGAAAGCGGGGGAUCGCAAGACCUCGCGCGAUUGGAGCGGCCGAUAUCAGAUUAGGUAGUUGGUGGGGUAAAGGCUCACCAAGCCAACGAUCUGUAGCUGGUCUGAGAGGGAGAUCCCCCACACUGGUACUGAGACACGGACCAGACUCCUACGGGAGGCAGCAGUGAGGAAUAUUGGUCAAUGGUCGCAAGACUGAACCAGCCAUGCCGCGUGCAGGAAGACGGUCCUAUGGAUUGUAAACUGCUUUUAUACAGGAAGAAACCCUCCCACGUGUGGGAGCUUGACGGUACUGUAGGAAUAAGGAUCGGCUAACUCCGUG
rnacentral:rRNA from 1 species